UACAGAGGUCUCAAGCGUUUGUUCGGAUUCAUUGGGCGUAAAGGGUGCGUAGGUGGCGCUGUAAGUCAGGUGUGAAAUUUCGGAGCUCAACUCCGAAACUGCAUUUGAUACUGCGGUGCUUGAGGACUGGAGAGGAGAUUGGAAUUCACGGUGUAGCAGUGAAUGCGUAGAUAUCGUGAGGAAGACCAGUGGCGAAGGCGGAUCUCUGGACAGUUCCGUGGCACUGAGGCACGAAGGCCAGGGAGCAAACGGG
rnacentral:rRNA from 1 species